GGAAAAUUAAAGCAAAAUUUAUAAUUCAAAAACAAAUCGAAAAUAUAUCCAACCAAUAAAAAGACUAGAAACUAUGGAACACAUAAUCCUCACCGAAAAGAUAGGCAAUCCUCUCCUCUCUCUGUGGAUCUAUCUCUGCUGCUUGAGCAGGCAACAGCUUAGUUCUGCACAAGGGGCAUGUUCCAUGACCAUGCUCCACCCACCCAUCCAAGCAUUCUCUGUGAUACACAUGCCUACAGUUUGCUAACAAUCUUAUCUCCUCUUCUAUCUCUAUGCAACUCAAGCAUAUUGCACAAGAAGCAGAGUCUUCAUCAUCGCACGCUUGCAUUCUUGAUUGGAACUCCCUGAAUUGUAUCACAGGGAGUUUCUUCUUUAUCAACUUGGACACC
rnacentral:misc_RNA from 1 species